UCCUGAUGUUUAGUUGAAAUCUCCCUCCUUGUAACUUGAAUCCAUUGGUUUGGAUUUGAGCAGAAGAAAACAAGCUUGCUCCAUCUUCCAUGUGACAGUCCUUGAGAUAUUUGAAGAUGGCUAUUGCAUCUCCCCUCAGUCUCCUCUUUUCCAAGCUAAACAUACCCAGCUCCUUCAAUC